CCUACGGGGGGCAGCAGUGAGGAAUCUUCCACAAUGGACGAAAGUCUGAUGGAGCGACACCGCGUGAGGGAUGAAGGCCUAACGGUUGUAAACUUCUUUUCUGAAGGAGCAUAAUGAGAGUACUUCAGGAAUAAGGGACGGCUAAAUACGUGCCAGCAGCCGCGGUAAUACGUAUGUCUCGAGCGUUACCCGGAAUCACUGGGUGUAAAGGGUUCGUAGGCGGUUUGAUAAGUUGGAUAUGAAAGACCGGAGCUCAACUCCGUGUUUGUGUUCAAAACUGUUAAACUAGAAUUAGGGAGAGGUAAGCGGAAUUCUAAGUGUAGGGGUGCAAUCCGUAGAUACUUAGAGGAACACCAAAAGCGAAGGCAGCUUACUGGAACUAUAUUGACGCUGAGGAACGAAAGCGUGGGGAGCGAAAAGGAUUAGAUACCCUUGUAGUCCACGCCCUAAACGAUGAUAACUAAGUGCUGCACUUUGGUGCAGUGCUGUAGCUAACGCGUUAAGUUAUCCACCUGAGGAGUACGGUCGCAAGAUUAAAACUCAAAGGAAUAGACGGGGACCCACACAAGCAGUGGAUCACGUGGUUUAAUUCGACAAUAAACGGGGAACCUUACCCAGACUUGACAUCUACCGAAUGAUCUAGAGAUAGAUCGGUGCUCGUAAGAGAACGGUAAGACAGGUGCUGCAUGGUUGUCGUCAGCUCGUGCCUUGAGGUAUUCGGUUAAGUCCGUUAACGAGCGCAACCCAUAUCGUUAGUUAUUAUGUCUAACGAGACUGCCUUGGUUAACAAGGAGGAAGGUGUGGAUGACGUCAAAUCAGCAUGGCUUUUACGUCUGGGGCUACACACAUGAUACAAUGGUGUAUACAAAGAGCAGCGAUACGGUAACGUGGAGCGAAUCUCAAAAAUACAUCUCAGUCCGGAUUGAGGUCUGCAACUCGACCUCAUGAAGUUGGAAUUGCUAGUAAUCGUGAAUCAGAUAUGUCACGGUGAAUAUGUUCCUGGGUCUUGUACACACCGCCCGUC
rnacentral:rRNA from 1 species